rnacentral:rRNA from 1 species
GACGAACGCUGGCGGCGUGCUUAACACAUGCAAGUCGAACGGAAAGGCCCUGCUUUUGUGCGGUGCUCGAGUGGCGAACGGGUGAGUAACACGUGAGUAACCUGCCCUUGACAUUGGGAUAACUUCAGGAAACUGGGGCUAAUACCGGGUAUGAGCUCCUGCUGCAUGGUGGGGGUUGGAAAGUUUCGGCGGUUGGGUAUGGACUCGCGGAUUGUCAGCUUGUUGGUGGGGUAGUGGCUUACCAAGGCUUUGACGGGUAGCCGGCCUGGGAGGGUGACAGGCCACAUUGGGACUGGGAUACGGCCCAGAGUGCUACGGGAGGCAGAAGUGGAGAAUAGUGCACGAUGGGCGGAAGCCUGAUGCAGCAACGCCGGGUGCGGGAUGACGGCCUUCGGGUUGUAAACCGCUUUCGCCUGGGACGAAGCGUGAGUGACGGUAAUGGGUAAAGAAGCACCGGCUAACUACGUG